rnacentral:rRNA from 1 species
GGGGAAUAUUGCACAAUGGGGGAAACCCUGAUGCAGCGACGCCGCGUGAAGGAAGAAGUAUUUCGGUAUGUAAACUUCUAUCAGCAAGGAAGAUAAUGACGGUACUUGACUAAGAAGCCCCGGCUAACUACGUGCCAGCAGCCGCGGUAAUACGUAGGGGGCAAGCGUUAUCCGGAUUUACUGGGUGUAAAGGGAGCGUAGGUGGCAUGGCAAGUCAGAUGUGAAAGCCCGGGGCUCAACCCCGGGACUGCAUUUGAAACUGCCAGGCUGGAGUGCAGGAGAGGUAAGUGGAAUUCCUAGUGUAGCGGUGAAAUGCGUAGAUAUUAGGAGGAACACCAGUGGCGAAGGCGGCUUACUGGACUGUAACUGACACUGAGGCGCGAAAGCGUGGGGAGCAAACA